AACAAACGCUGGCGGCGUGCCUAAUACAUGCAAGUCGAACGGGGAAAGCAUCCGGGUGAGUACUAGUGGCGCACGGGGGAGGAACGCGUGGAUAAUCUGACUUAGAGUGGGGGAUAACUAGUCGAAAGAUUAGCUAAUACCGCUUAAGACCACAGGCGCUGAGGCUCAAGGGGUAAAAGGUUUUUCGCUCUAAGAUGAGUCCGCGUAAGAUUAGCUAGUUGGAGAGGUAACGGCUCACCAAGGCGACGAUCUUUAACUGGUCUGAGAGGAUGAUCAGUCACACUGGAACUGAGACACGGUCCAGACUCCUACGGGAGGCAGCAGUAGGGAAUAUUGCACAAUGGAGGAAACUCUGAUGCAGCGACGCCGCGUGAGUGAUGAAGGCCUUCGGGUCGUAAAGCUCUGUCGCAGGGGAAUAACACAAUGAAUGUACCCUGUGAGAAAGGAUCGGCUAACUUCGUGCCAGCCGCCGCGGUAAAAC
rnacentral:rRNA from 1 species